CUUCAUUUUGUUGUCGUACAUUGAGGUUUUUUGUUCGUGAUCAUAGCCCAGCCCAGCCCAUUUAAACAGACAUGCAGGCCUUUCAAGCUUUAACUCGACAAUAACCUAUUUAGGCCUAGCCUGUUACAGUUUUUGUAUUGUAUGUAUACAUAAACCAAGCUGGAGAAGAGCUGCCGUCUCCCCUCCAGAGUAUUUGCUUUGCUUCCUUCGUCCGUCCACUCCACGCCACGGCCGGCCGCUCACGAUCCCUUCCGCCGGAUCUGCCGAUGGAAGCCGCCGGGAUUGGGUGGCUAGCGCAAGAGAUCCUUUCACACCCCCUGAUCGGCAAGCCCUGGGUCCGUGAGGCCGGGCUCGCGGAAGAAAUCGAGGGUCUCACGUCUGCAAUCAAGGGAGUCCGCAUGGUCGCCUCCGUUGUUGACGGCAGGGAGCUCGGCAACGAGCCACUGGCUGAAUCUCUUGCUGAGCUCAAGGAGGCGCUCUAUGAUGCGGCCAACGUGAUCGACGACCUCAGCUCCCACAGGCUCAAACAGGGUAAGCCUGCCUACCACCUGUAGAUUACUUGAGUUGUUAGUCUCUGUUGCAAAAUAUAGUUAAAUUAGAUUUUACCUGAGCUGGGCUCCGUUCUUUAGGUGGUGGUGUAGAAAUAGCCGAUGCUACUGUGAUUUUUUUUUUUUGAACCGGGCUAAACCCCUUUCCAUCAAUGCAUAACGGAAAUACAUCUGAUCCAAGAGUUCACAAGGGAAAGGGAAGAAGCGAGUCCAAAGCACCACUGGUAAAAAUCACAGCCGAUGGAAUUAGAAUUUAUCCGACCUUCCUUCUUCAGGUAGUGGUGUAGAAAUAGCCGAUGGAGACGCCGUUGUGAAAUCUAGUUUUGUUCAUGUUUUGGUCAGUUCGUACGAGUUACUAGCGUUUUGUUGAAACUCUUCAUGCCUUGUUUAGUUUCCCUUGCAAAAAGAAAUUUAAAAAAUACCCGGUCUGUUGAGGCCUGGGAAUGUUAUUUCACUGAACCUAUAACCUUUUGGCAAGGCUUGGUUCCUAAAUGUAAAGGAGGCAGCGAAUUUACGAUUAAUGGGAUCAUGCUAAUACUUCUCUUAUUUCUGGCACAGCUGCUUCGACAUCGAUGGUCGAUGCUGAUAUACCGCCAACAAGUAGCAGUCGUGGGAAGAGGCAACGCUCCAAGGCAUGGGACCAUUUUGUGGUUAUAAGAGAUGGUGAUGGAAACCCUGAGAAGGCAGAAUGUAAGUACUGUCAAACAGUAGUUCAGUGUAAGACUACAAACGGGACAGGAGUUUUGAGCAGGCAUAUCAAGAGUGCUGGUUGUAGGGCAGGUCACCAACAGCAAGACCCUUCCUCAUGGUAGGUUUUACAGAUCCAAGAACAACAAAAUUCUCUUUAUGAGCUACCCUAGGACAAUUCAUUCCUUUUUUUUUUU
rnacentral:rRNA from 1 species